UACGCCGCGGGGCGGGGCGCCGGGACUCGCCGCCGCGGCUCUGCCCGCCGCAGGGAGGGGGGAAGCAGGGCUCUGGCAGUGCCGAGGCGGUGCAGGUUCGCGCUAUGGCCCUUUAUUGUCUCGCACACACGGCCCGGGGCCCUGAGGGCUCUUCCGCCCCGCGCAGCGCCCUGAUUAGGUGAUGCCAAGCCAAGCCAGCGUGCUUUCCACUUCAGCGGUUCUGCUGCUGAUCAGUGCACUUCCAGCUCCUGGUGGAGGUGUUGGCAAUAAGAUACAUCACUGUGAACUGCAUUUCCUUUCAUUUGAGACUACCUCAAUUCAGGAAAUAUGUGGAUGCCAGCAAGACCAGCUAUGUCCACAGAAGAGAGAAAAAGUCACUCAGCCUAUGACAACAUCUCCCAUCUUUCUCCAAACACUGGAUCACCUCUCUAGGAUGAGGUGCUAUUUUUAAUCUCCUAGUUUUCAGCAUAUGUUGAGAGUGCUUCCAUGGACUUUCCAUCUUAUCCUUUUCAAGCUUUGCAUCCUGGGUCUGUAAGUCUGAAAUAAUAAACAAGUAUUAGCAA